UACGAAGGGGGCUAGCGUUGCUCGGAAUUACUGGGCGUAAAGCGCACGUAGGCGGAUUGUUAAGUCGGGGGUGGAAUCCUGGAGCUCAACUCCAGAACUGCCUUUGAUACUGAAGAUCUUGAGUUCGGGAGAGGUGAGUGGAACUGCGAGUGUAGAGGUGAAAUUCGUAGAUAUUCGCAAGAACACCAGUGGCGAAGGCGGCUCACUGGCCCGAUACUGACGCUGAGGCACGAAAGCGUGGGGAGCAAACAGG
rnacentral:rRNA from 1 species